GAUCCAGAUUCAACGGCAAACAAGUAUUUUUACUCACCUCUCUCCCGGUCUAGGUCGUGGUUGCACUUAUUAACUGAAUCCCUAGAGUCAUUUUCAUUUUUCAAUGCCAAAGUCGUUUUUGAUUCGUAUUAAAUUUUUUCUCCACCUUUCUAAAUUGAUUAUUCCUAAUUUCCUUUUCUCAAUUCAGUAAUGGCCCUGAAUCUCAAACCCAUAUGUAGAUUUCUCUCAAACCCCAUGAAAUGAUUAAUCCUCUCAUCUGUCUGUCAUUGAUUUAUUUGGGCGUUUGAUUAAAACGCUCAUCUUUCCCUUUAAUGGAUUCCCAAUAUAUAAUGUCUCAGCUGAAUGGAAAACCAUUUCGGUUCCACCACUCGCAUAAUUAAGUAGGUGUUCUCUUCUUCCUCUCUUCAGCAUUUGCUCCCUACCGGAUACUGCAUGUGAUCACUUACGGUUCUUUUUCGUCUAUAUGUGAUUGGUUAAUAUAUUUGGUUUAUCUUCUUCCCUCGCCAUUUUCCUUAGCUCUAAAGGUAAGUUACAUUGUACUACUGCAGUGGGUUUGAGACCCAAUAUCUAAAAAUAUCCAAAAAUUUGUACAAUAAAAUUGUAUUUGUUAUAUUCGACAAAAUGUGCCAAACAAAUUCAGUUUCACUGAGUUUGAAGACCUUGAAUCAAAGAUUCACAACAAAUGUAUAUUACAGGUCAGUUUUUUUACAUAUAUGUUUCUUACAGUGUUAUUCACCACAACUAUUUGUUCACCUUAUUAACUUUGUGAAUUUAGAUUCGGCUAGCUUUGUAAAAACCAUCAUGAAUAUCGAGGCCCGGUGGUGGUCAGCCUUGCCGAAUGCAGGAAUUCAUAAUUGAGAACCUCAUGUAUACAUUAUUUGUCCUUAAUAUCUUUGUGCUCGAUCUGAUUCUCUAAUGCACAUACACAAAAUGUUAUUUCCUGUGUUAUGGUCCACUUUGAAGAUUAACCUUUGGGUUCUGCUGCUAAUCAGAUCUAAUGACCCAGUAGAUGCUGAAUCCAACCCAGGGCCAGUAUUGAUAGCCGCAUGCUCCACUUUUGUGAAGAAUUAUCAAGGGGAUUGCACCGUAUCUGCCACAUAUACCACCAAGUACGCUGACAUCUACAUUCCAGAACAGUACCAUGUUCAACACAUUAGGACGCAUAAAAGGUUUUGUAGAAAAAUGGUAUGUCAUGUACUGCCCAUAUUGCCGCACAUAAUUCCCAGAACUUGGCAUUAUAAACUCAUGGUGUUUCACAUGUCAAGAAUCGUUCCAACCCACGCCAAGGAUGAAACUUAUAAUGGAAGUGGAAGACUCAACUGGAACUGCUACGUUUGUGGCCAUGGGGAAGGCAGCAGAGGAUUUACUCCAAUGUAGUGUCUCUACACUGAUGGAGGUUAACAGGGUUUGUACUACUACUAGCAUGUUUCUAAUGACACCCCCAUCCACAUUAUUAUAAAGUCUUUGCAAUAUUUAAUAUUUUAAAAUUCGAUCUAUUGUAUAGCCGUGUUCUUACAUUCUUAAUCGGGAUCAGGUUGCAAGUUUUGUUGUCCAUUCAAAAUGCAAAGAGGAAACAUUUUGUAUUUUCUGUUCAUGGAAAUGAUCUCAACUCAUAUUAGAACAAAUCGCUGCUAUAGUUUUUGGUGCUAUAGGUUCAUGUUCUGUAUUAUUUGCUUUUCUUUUAGAAAAAAUAUGAUAGUUAAGAGUUGUAUUUGUGUCUAAUGAUAGUAGCCAAAUAGUCAUGGAAGUGAAGAAUAUGGAUACAAGAGAAGCAAUAGUAAAGGAAACAGCUUCCUACUGAAAUUCAGGUAUUGGAGUUGGAUCUUAGUACAAUUGCAAGUGAGAUCUACGCAUAAGUCAAUUUGUUUGGAUCUUUUGCUGAAACAUAUUUAUUUACUGCAUUAUCUUACAAGGUCCCUACAAACAAAAUGGAGCGUACAUUUGCAACCAAUCAUCUAAGUAUGUCAAUAUCUAAGUUGAGUCCCAUAUGAUCUGAAAUAUUAUUGUGGCAAAGAGUAGCUUUACUGAAUGGAACGAAAAACUUGGAUCAAAGAUAGCAUGUGUUACUGUCAAUGAUAGCAUAUGUUACUGGAACGCGUGGAUUUCAUGUACGUAAUCUUGGCAGUGAAGAAUAGGAUAGCUGGUACAGUUGUAAAAGAAGCAAUUGUAAACAAAAAACUUCUGCUAAAAGUAAGGGAUUGGAGUUGGAUCUUAGCUCCAUGGCACCAUUGCACUGAUAAGAAAGUUCGUCACAUAAUUUAAGUCUUCUCAUCUUUUAAACAUCCUUAUGUGAGUAUCUAAAAUUUGAGAAGUUUAUUUCAUUGUUCUGUAUUUCCACUUUAUAGUGGAGCUAUUCUUGGGAUAAGUUGGUUACCUAUUUUACCUA